rnacentral:rRNA from 1 species
CAGAGGGUGCAAACGUUGCUCGGAAUCACUGGGCGUAAAGGGCGUGUAGGCGGGAAGGAAAGUCAGAUGUGAAAUCCCUGGGCUCAACCCAGGAACUGCAUUUGAAACUCCUUUCUUGAGUGCUGGAGAGGAAAGCAGAAUUCCUGGUGUAGAGGUGAAAUUCGUAGAUAUCAGGAGGAACACCGGUGGCGAAGGCGGCUUUCUGGACAGUAACUGACGCUGAGACGCGAAAGCGUGGGGAGCAAACAGGAUU